rnacentral:lncRNA from 1 species
AGACGUAUCUGGAGAAAAAGAGAAUAAAGCUGAACAUGCAGCCUCCAGCCCCAGAGAAAGACUGAGAGAGAACAGGAGAAUAGAACCUUAUUAGACACCAGAUGUAUUUCCAGCAACUGGGUCUCCUCCAAGAUAUUCUUAUGUAACUACUCUACUUGUCACCUGGACAUCAGGACUUUGGAAAACUUCCCAAGUGUUUCCAUUGUGCAGGCUGUCAUGAGAAUAUCCUCUCUCGGGAAGACUUACUAGAGAAAGAAGUAGCCAUCACCAAUCUUUCAAGCCUUUUGCACUCUUACCUAUUGGAUUUGAACAACUUAUGUAAGGUCAUCUUGGGUUAUGAUUGUCCCUCUCAGUGCUUUUGGAGGUUAUAUUUGUCACUUCUUAAACUAAAGGAAAAGACUCACUUUUCUUAUAAAGUUGGAAGUAGUAAAUCUGUUCCUUUGAAACUAGAGAAAUAUGUCCCUGCCUAUGAAAACGCUGUUCUACUUUUGCAGAGGUAGCUGUAUCAUAGAGUGAAUGUGGCAACUGAUAUGGCCAUCACUGUGAAGAGCUGGGUACACACAUCAGCCUCAGGACACCCCCUGCAGUCCUAACUUGGGAACGUAAACCUCAGCUAUUGCAAGUAAACCAUUUCUGCUUCAUUCACAUGAGAACAUUUCCUUCACAAAAGUCACAUGGACAAGACAAAAUAAGAACUUACCUAAGGAAAAAAAAAUGUCUUUGGGUAACUACUGUGCUAAGCUACUUUCUGCAGAGGUUAGGUACUAUAGACAUUAGGAUCAGGAAAAACCAAGAAACAAACAAUUGUGACUAAAUUUUUCUCUAGGAGACACGGAAAGGAAUUUGUUCAGCUCUUGAGAGAUAAAUGUAUGGAGACAAAUACAGAACAGCAAGAAAGUCAGAAGAACCAGAGAGACGGUGUGCAACAGGAGGCUUUUAAGAAGCAUCCAACAGCAACUGUCUCCUUUCUAGUUAUUUCUAUUACUUCAGCCUUACCUCCUCCAACUUCAGCACCUCAUUAUAAUAUCCUUCCCAAUCAAUCUUCUAUGGAACUA